UACGGAGGGGGCUAGCGUUGUUCGGAAUUACUGGGCGUAAAGCGCACGUAGGCGGCUUUGUAAGUUAGAGGUGAAAGCCCGGGGCUCAACUCCGGAAUUGCCUUUAAGACUGCAUCGCUAGAAUUGUGGAGAGGAAAGUGGAAUUCCGAGUGUAGAGGUGAAAUUCGUAGAUAUUCGGAAGAACACCAGUGGCGAAGGCGACUUACUGGACACAUAUUGACGCUGAGGUGCGAAAGCGUGGGGAGCAAACAGG
rnacentral:rRNA from 1 species